rnacentral:rRNA from 1 species
GUCCACGCCCUAAACGAUGUCAACUAGUUGUCGGGGAUGGAGACCUCUUUGGUAACGCAGCUAACGCGCGAAGUUGACCGCCUGUGGAGUACGGUCGCAAGAUUAAAACUCAAAGGAAUUGACGGGGACCCCGCACAAGCGGUGGAUGAUGUGGAUUAAUUCGAUGCAACGCGAAAACCUUACCUACCCUUGACAUGCCUGGAACUUGGUAGAGAUACCUUGGUGCCCGAAAGGGAGCCAGGACACAGGUGCUGCAUGGCUGUCGU